GAAGAACGCUGGCGGCGUGCUUAACACAUGCAAGUCGAACGGAGUGGCGAACGGGUGAGUAACACGUGGGUGAUCUGCCUUGCACUUCGGGAUAAGCUUGGGAAACUGGGUCUAAUACCGGAUAGUGCAAGAUGAGCUCGCGGCCUAUCAGCUUGUUGGUGGGGUAAUGGCCUACCAAGGCGUCGGCGGGUAGCCGGCCUGGGAGGGUGUACGGCCACAUUGGGACUGAGGUACGGACCAGAGUCCUACGGGGGGCAGCGGUGGGGAAUAUGGCGCAAUGGGCGGAAGCCUGAUGCGACGACGCCGGGUGGGGGAUGAAGUCCUUCGGGUUGUAAACUCCUUUCGACAGGGACGCGGUACCUGUAUAAGAAGCACCGGCUAACUACGUGCCAGCAGCCGCGGUAAUAC
rnacentral:rRNA from 1 species